CGUGUGAAAUCCUCAAAAGAACUGACAUGCCUACACGCGAGGCCCGUCCGCUCUCUCCCUUUCUAUCUCCCUGAUUCAGUUGUUCUUCGUGCAACCGAUGCGAUGCCGCGGUCAGGCGGCGCCGGUCGCGGCAACGGCGACGCCGAGGUACCGGCAGUGAAGGAGCCCAAACGGUGCUCCCUCCAAGAUUUCGUAUCGACUAUCAAACUAUAAUCCCCGAAAAUCCUAGGCACUUGUGAUUCACCGACUUCUACCUCUACCGGCAGGCGGUAGCACCCACCACGACUAGCCAGCUCGCCCGACGGCGACGCCGCCACUUGGCAUCCCCAUGCGGCCCGACGCCCUUCCACACCCCAUCCAUGUCACCGGUUCCUCCCCUGCAGGUACAACUCUCGUAUUUGGCAGAGACUAAAGAUAAGGUAAGCAAAAAUUCAAUUGCCAGACGAUCGUAUUUGUCAUAGUACCUACUCUGAAUAUUUCAGUCGUUGAAUUCUGAUCUAUUCCAAGCCGUCUUCCCAUUCUUGGAAAAAGUUACCUGUAAAGAUUCAUACUUUUGCCUGUAUGGUCUGGUUGUAUUUAUUUAGUACCCAGCAAUGGGCAUUGAUUUGCUUACCACAUUUGAAUCAAUUAUCUCUUUCUUUAAAUUCAGUUUACUGAUAAAGUUCGCCCCUGAAGAAAAUGGGUUAUGCAGAGAUAAGUGGCCUUGAGGUAACACAUCUUCGUGUAGUUGUUUCCACACACUUCCUUCAUUUUCUAUCUGAUCAAAUGAUGGAUCUACUGUUGUCCAUUUGUAUAGAUCCUGUAAAUUAAGAAGAAAGGAUAUAUUAAAUGUCUGGUGCUUCCAGGGUAUGUUAGUUUGUGGCUUUUUACCAAUCUAGAUUUUUUUGUAGCAAAUCAGAAAUUAAUAGGAUGGUUAUAUAUCAACGUUAUACUCUUGCAUUUCUGUACUGCACACCUCAUGUUUAGGAUAUACACCCAAUAAAAAUUGGAACGAUACAACUAAUUCACAAAAUUAGUUUCUUUGUGUCAAGCAUGCUGCAAUUUUAUUUUAGAAUUUUUAGGUUCGGAAAUGGAGAUAUCUACUCUGAUCUUAUACCUGAAGCUUUGAACAUAUACAUUGUGCACUAUCUACAUUGAGAUACUGUAUUAAAUUUCCCAAGAUUCCUCGAAGAGUUGUACUGUCUAAUUAUUUCAAAUAUUUCCUCUUUGAUUACUGAUGACUAUAUGAGCAAGUUGAUACAAACUUAAAUUUCCA